GACGAACGCUGGCGGCGUGCCUAAUACAUGCAAGUCGAACGCAUUUUCUUUCACCGUAGCUUGCUACACCGAAAGAAAAUGAGUGGCGAACGGGUGAGUAACACGUGGGCAACCUGCCCAUCAGCGGGGGAUAACACUUGGAAACAGGUGCUAAUACCGCAUAAUUCCAUUUACCGCAUGGUAGAGGGAUGAAAGGCGCUUUUGCGUCACUGAUGGAUGGACCCGCGGUGCAUUAGCUAGUUGGUGGGGUAACGGCCUACCAAGGCUGCGAUGCAUAGCCGACCUGAGAGGGUGAUCAGCCACACUGGGACUGAGACACGGCCCAGACUCCUACGGGAGGCAGCAGUAGGGAAUCUUCGGCAAUGGACGCAAGUCUGACCGAGCAACGCCGCGUGAGUGAAGAAGGUUUUCGGAUCGUAAAACUCUGUUGUUAGAGAAGAACAAGGAUGAGAGUGGAAAGUUCAUCCCUUGACGGUAUCUAACCAGAAAGCCACGGCUAACUACGUG
rnacentral:rRNA from 1 species